GUCUUAGCUCAGUGGUAGAGCAUCUGUUUUGCAUGCAGAAGGUCCCAGGUUCAAUCCCUGGCAUCUCCC